rnacentral:lncRNA from 1 species
GCUAAUCUUUUCAUAAUAACCCAAUCAAAACCUUAUAUCAAAUCUUUCUGCUUAUACCUUUAUCAUAUAUCUGAUAGUAUACAAAUAUUGUCAGUGCUGCUAAGAAUAAGGGAUAAAAUAGAACAUACAGCUUGAGACUCAAAAUAACAUCCAGUUGGAACAAAGUUGCCGGAUAAUAUUUUUGACACAAAAGGGUAACAUACUUUUCAGAAUACGUGAUCUAUAUGUUUUGUCCUCAAUGACACUUGUGUGCUUCCAGAUUUUGAUUGCUUGGUAACACUGCUUGGCAUAAUAAGGAGUAGUACUUCCAGAAAAUGCUUAUGAGAGCAGACUGUUUGGGAGAGGAAUGGAGCCUUGAGCUUGAAGACUGAGCGUGAUGGCAAAAGUGACUCACCUCCUAAAGAUACCUGAACUCAGCACAAAAAUCUAAACAAAAUAUUAAACAGCAGCAACGGUAGCAUCCUAUGUUGCUUCUGCUGAGCAGAUGGAUUUGAAAGGAAAUGUGUUUAGCAAAUGCACAGUCCUUAAAUCUUCAUAGGAAAAUGACAGACUUUCCAUAGAGCUGGAAGGAAGGAGACUGCAGUAAGACUAGGUGAGUAUUAAGGAAAUGUAUCAUAUAUUUUUUCCAAUCCUUCUGCUUUUUCAU